UGGCCGGCGUCCCUUAAUCCGGCCCAGCCCUUCUCCCUGAUCCGUUGCCCCAGGGCUCCCUCUGCUGGCAGACGGAAGUGGUGCUGCCCACGUGGCAGACUCUUGCCCUGGUCUCAGAUUCCCGGCCCUGGCCCCCGGCCUGAUUUACUCCUGUAGCUCCGCCUGACUAGUGACACCGCCUCUGCUCAGCUCCCAUAUCACCUCCUUGAUGACAUCUCAGGUCCCAGGCACAGGUCUCGGAAGAUGAGUCAGCUCGGAGGCAGGCGGGUGGAGAGUUUGAGAUCAGGACGAGCGGAGCUCUGAGAUUUCAGCCCCAAGCGAGCCACCGUCUCAGGAGUGCAGCCUUCGCGCAGUCCCGUGGAGGAGCCUUGCCUGCUGUGUUCCUCACGCCCAGCUCUGUGCCUGGCAGACACAGUCAGCUUACUGAGUGCCCUGGACUGAACGGGGCGAAGUGCAAACAAAACUGUUUUCUCCAAGCGCUGUCUGAUAAACCCCCGUUUGUCCGCCAUUCUUCUGCGUCCUGGAUGAAAUCUUGGCAGACCCCAUAGCCUUUCUGUUGCUCUGAGAACUUCAUUCUCAGGUAGUGAAAAGCCUGGUCCGAAGUCUGGGGCUCACACUCCCCUCCCAGGGGAAGCCCUCGUCUGAUCCCAGCUGCCAUCUGCCCUGCAGUGGGAAGGGUGUGAGCAGCCUCCUCCCUGUUCCUGCUCCUGCUCUGUCCUUUCAGCCCUGUGCCCCACUCACGGUGUGUCCUGGGGCUCUGCUGAGGGAGGAGCGUGGAGAGGAGACCGGUACAGAGCUUCUGAGCAGCGUGCGGGAGUCAUCCCUGGCGUGGAGGGGGAUAUUCACAAGCCGACUCCCUCUGGCGGGUGUCCUUGUGUGGGAGCCACCCCUCGCCAUGGACCCUGACCACUGCCUGGACAUCCGUCAGAGGCACCUCACCCCACAGCCAUCUCUCCCCGUUGGUGUUUAUUUUCAAGGUGAAUUUUAUUGGCAUGCUUUAGAUGUACAUCGGGAUCACAUUCAUCAUAGGGAAUUUCGACCUGUAUGUAGUAUAUCUUGAUUCUUUUUACCCCAAUCCCCUGCCCUCCCUUCAGCCCCUCUUCCCUUGCUUAUUUAUAAAAGCUUUGUUUCCAUUUUUCCUUCUAUUCUCCUUUUUUUUGUUUUCCCUUCCUUCCUUUCCCUCUCUACCUCCCAUGUUCCCUUUCCC
ensembl:lncRNA